CAAUAGCGUAUAUUAAAGUUGUUGCGGUUAAAACGCUCGUAGUUGGAUUUCUGUUGAGGGCAGCCGGUCCGCACUUCGUGCGUGUAUCUGGUUUGACCUCGGCAUCCCCUCAAAAUACGUUUCUGCGCUUGAUUGCGUGGAGCGGAGUUUGAGACUUUUACUUUGAGGAAAUUAGAGUGUUCACGGCAGGCAAUCGCCUUGAAUAUAUUAGCAUGGAAUAAUAAUAUAGGAUCUUGGUUCUAUUUUGUUGGUUUCUAGAGCUAAGAUAAUGAUUAAUAGGGACAAUUGGGGGCAUUCGUAUUAACGCGUCAGAGGUGGAAUUCUUGGAUUGCGUUACGACGAACUACUGCGAAAGCAUUUGCCAAGGAUGUUUUCAUUGA
rnacentral:rRNA from 1 species